rnacentral:tRNA from 1 species
UUAAAAGUAGUUUAAUUAAAAUAUUAACUUUGGGAGUUAAUGAUUGGGAGGUUUAUCUUACUUUUAAA